UCAAGUGAAUAAGUGCAUGUGGUGGAUGCCUUGGCGAUUACAGGCGAUGAAGGACGUUGUAGCCUGCGAUAAGCCGCGGGGAGCUGGCAAACAAGCUUUGAUCCGCGGAUGUCCGAAUGGGGAAACCCACCCGCAAGGGUAUCGCUGACUGAAUCCAUAGGUCAGCGAGGCGAACGUGGCGAACUGAAACAUCUAAGUAGCCACAGGAAAAGAAAUCAACCGAGAUUCCGAAAGUAGUGGCGAGCGAAAUCGGAGCAGCCUGUGCGUGAUAGUCGAUUGGCUAGUGGAACGGUAUGGAAAGGCCGGCCAUAGAGGGUGAUAGCCCCUUACACGAAAGCGAAUCGGUGGUACUGAGCGUACGACAAGUAGGGCGGGACACGUGUAAUCCUGUCUGAAGAUGGGGGGACCAUCCUCCAAGGCUAAAUACUCGUAAUCGACCGAUAGUGAACAAGUACUGUGAAGGAAAGGCGAAAAGAACCCCGGGAGGGGAGUGAAAUAGAUCCUGAAACCGCAUGCAUACAAACAGUCGGAGCCUCGCAAGGGGUGACGGCGUACCUUUUGUAUAAUGGGUCAGCGACUUACGUUCAGUGGCAAGCUUAACCAGAUAGGGGAGGCGCAGGGAAACCGAGUCCGAAUAGGGCGCCAUAGUCGCUGGGCGUAGACCCGAAACCAGGUGAUCUAUCCAUGGUCAGGAUGAAGGUUGGGUAACACCAGCUGGAGGUCCGAACCGACUAAUGUUGCAAAAUUAGCGGAUGAACUGUGGAUAGGGGUGAAAGGCUAAUCAAACCUGGAAAUAGCUGGUUCUCCCCGAAAACUAUUUAGGUAGUGCGUCAUGUAUUGCUCCAGGGGGUAGAGCACUGUAAUGGUUGUGGGGGCCAUCGCGGCUUACCACGCCAUAGCAAACUCCGAAUACCUGGAAGUAUGAGCAUGGCAGACAGUCGCCGGGUGCUAACGUCCGGCGGCAAGAGGGAAACAACCCAGACCUACAGCUAAGGUCCCAAAGUGUGGCUAAGUGGGAAACGAAGUGGGAAGGCUAAAACAGUCAGGAUGUUGGCUUAGAAGCAGCCAUCAUUUAAAGAAAGCGUAAUAGCUCACUGAUCGAGUCGUCCUGCGCGGAAGAUGUAACGGGGCUAAGCCAUGCACCGAAGCUUAGGCUGCACUCUCUGAGUGCGGGGUAGGGGAGCGUUCUGUAAGCCUGUGAAGGUGUCUCGUAAGGGAUGCUGGAGGUAUCAGAAGUGCGAAUGCUGACAUGAGUAGCGUUAAAGCGGGUGAAAAGCCCGCUCGCCGUAAGCGCAAGGUUUCCUACGCAACGUUCAUCGGCGUAGGGUGAGUCGGCCCCUAAGGUGAGGGCGAAAGCCAUAGCUGAUGGGAAGCUGGUUAAUAUUCCAGCACCGAUUUCUAGUGCGAUGGGGGGACGGAUCGUGGAAGGUUGUCCGGGUGUUGGAAGUCCCGGUUCCUGACCUGUAGGUGUCUGGUAGGUAAAUCCGCCAGGCGUAUGCCGAGGGGUUGGGACGAGCGAGCUUGCUCGCGAAGCAACUGGAAGUGGUUCCAAGAAAAGCCUCUAAGCUUCAGCUAGAAACGACCGUACCGCAAACCAACACUGGUGCGCGAGAUGAGUAUUCUCAGGCGCUUGAGAGAACUCGGGAGAAGGAACUCGGCAAAUUGACACCGUAACUUCGGAAGAAGGUGUGCCUUGGUAGCUUGAGUGUGAACAACACAAGGGCGAAGAGGUUGCAAAGAAUAGGUGGCUGCGACUGUUUAUUAAAAACACAGCACUCUGCAAACACGAAAGUGGACGUAUAGGGUGUGACGCCUGCCCGGUGCCGGAAGGUUAAGUGAUGGGGUGCAAGCUCUUGAUCGAAGCCCCGGUAAACGGCGGCCGUAACUAUAACGGUCCUAAGGUAGCGAAAUUCCUUGUCGGGU
rnacentral:rRNA from 1 species